UACGUAGGGUGCGAGCGUUAAUCGGAAUUACUGGGCGUAAAGCGUGCGCAGGCGGUUCGUUGUGUCCGAUGUGAAAGCCCCGGGCUUAACCUGGGAAUGGCAUUGGAAACUGGCGAGCUUGAGUGCGGCAGAGGGGGGUGGAAUUCCGCGUGUAGCAGUGAAAUGCGUAGAGAUGCGGAGGAACACCGAUGGCGAAGGCAGCCCCCUGGGUCGACACUGACGCUCAGGCACGAAGGCGUGGGGAGCAAACAGG
rnacentral:rRNA from 1 species